rnacentral:rRNA from 1 species
CAGUCGCCGCGGUAGUACGGAGGGAGCUAGCGUUGUUCGGAAUUACUGGGCGUAAAGCGCACGUAGGCGGCUUUGUAAGUUAGAGGUGAAAGCCUGGGGCUCAACUCCAGAAUUGCCUUUAAGACUGCAUCGCUUGAAUCAUGGAGAGGCGGGUGGAAUUCCGAGUGUAGAGGUGAAAUUCGUAGAUAUUCGGAAGAACACCAGUGGCGAAGGCGGCCCGCUGUACAUGUAUUGACGCUGAGGUGCGAAAGCGUGGGGAGCAAACAGGAUUAGAUACCCCCGUAGUCCCUGUCUCUUAUAC